rnacentral:rRNA from 1 species
UACGGAGGGUGCAAGCAUUAAUCGGAUUUAUUGGGCGUAAAGGGCGCGUAGGCGGACAAGAAAGUCGGAUGUGAAAUACCGAGGCUCAACCUCGGUGCUGCAUUUGAAACUUCUUGACUUAGAGGGUAGACGGAGAAAACGGAAUUCCACGUGUAGCGGUGAAAUGCGUAGAUAUGUGGAAGAACACCUGUGGCGAAAGCGGUUUUCUAGUUUAUACCUGACGCUGAGGCGCGAAAGCAAGGGGAGCAAACAGG